ACUUUUAAGGGAUGAUAGCUAAUCCACUGGUCUUAGGAGCCAUUCACCUUGGUGCAAGUCCAAGUAAAAGUA
rnacentral:tRNA from 1 species